CAUUGGGAGCGAAUGGCAUACCAGAUCCACCCCACCCUCCUCGAUGCUCCUAAUCAUUGGAUCCAUAAUAUUUGCAAAGGGCGUCCUCAAGGCAAACUGAUGGAGAUCAUCUACAUUGCACCGCCUGUUCAAGAGCCAUCAGGAGGGGGAACAUAUUUGUGAUGCUGCCAAGCGUAAUGCACUUUUAAACGAUUAGUUUUCUGUUUGCAUUAGCAAGCAGUUGACUGUAAUUUCAAGAGGUUUCAAGAGGAAACUUUGAAGAGCAUGAAGAAUUUGCAGUUGUCUAGGUUUGUCUAUAAGAGCUUCACAAGGGUACCGUGAACCUGUCAGCUUGACAGCAGAUGCUUCCUGUUAGCGAGGUGUGACUUCCACAAGUGAGUGAGCUCAAAGAAGAAAGACACUGUCGUCGCCUUGACCCAAAUGCCCUAAAGUGUCAGUUUCCUGUCACAGGUAUCCUGAAAUGAAGAAAAGGAGUCCAUGAAGAAAUGAAGAAAAGGAGUCCAUGAAGAAAUGAAGAAAAGGAGUCCAAAAGAGCUAAAGCAUGCGUCAGACUGCUUGAUAUAGACCUAAC